UACAGAGACUGCAAGCGUUAUUCGGAUUCACUGGGCGUAAAGGGUGCGCAGGCGGCCAAGUGUGUUAGGCGUGAAAGCCCGGGGCUUAACCCCGGAAUUGCACCUAAAACUACAUGGCUAGAGCAUUGGAGAGGGUAGACGGAAUUCACGGUGUAGCAGUGAAAUGCGUAGAUAUCGUGAGGAACACCAGAGGCGAAGGCGGCUA
rnacentral:rRNA from 1 species